GCUACUCCGACAGUGGGGAAGGAGGGCGGGUGUGGAAUGGAUAUGAGCAACACAUCUCGAAGAACAACAGUUACAAAGGUGAGUAACCGUCUUUUCUUCUUCUUCGAGUGAUUGCUGAUAUCCAUUCCAGUUAGGUGAAUCCCAAGCCUUACCUAG